UAGUGCAAGAACAUGGGAUCCACGGAGAAGACGGGAGCAGUUUGCUCCAUACCUAAACAUUCGUAUUGGUUUGACUUUUGGCUUUUCCUGUUGUUUGACAUCGUAUUCUUUCUUGUUAUGCAUUUCAUCGUUCCAUGACGGCAGGCAUGUCAUGGAUCGCCAGGACCAAAGAUUGUUGAUGAACGUCGCUAAGAAACCCGGGAAUGAAGUCUACCUUUGCCCUCUGCUUUCACCAGAUCUGUGGCCAAGAUAACCUGUCAUUCAUUCAUUCACUCGUUCAUUUGUUUAUUAAUUUAUACAUUCAUUCAGUGGAAAUUGUUUACACAUGAAAACGAUUUCCUUUCAUUUAUUUAUGUAUGGUCCUGGCUGGCUCUGUUCUGUUAGCAAUGGCUUUGUUCAUCAACACUUGACAUGGCAUGAUCUACUUUACUGCUGACGCCAAAGCUUGGCACCAAAUGCUGAAAAAUAGCACUAAUGUGUUCAAUGAUGAUCGUAAUUGUGGUGUUACCCAUUGGAUUUUUUUUUAUAUUUAAUUGAUUGAUUGAUUGAUUGAUUGAUUUAUGGAUUGAUGUAUUAGAGGGAGAGCAGCUUCACAGAAGAGAGCUUCUGACAGCAAAUUUGAGGAAAAGUUGGUAAACCACCUUUCUUACCUAAUUUGAGGGUGCUGAUUCUGAAUAUUUUGCUUACCAAGCUCAACUCUGAGUUCUAAGCCGCAUAAUCAGCAUUUUAACAUAAAAUAGUGAUUGUUUUUGCUUAUUUUUCCCUAAAUU